GGUAAUUGUGGUGCAGCAGCCGCGGGAAGUGUGGGGUGGUGAGCGUUAAUCGGAUUGACUUGGCGUAAGGCGUGCGUAGGCUGCUUUUUAAGUCGGAUGUGAAAUCCCCGAGCUUAACUUGGGAAUUGCAUUCGAUACUGGGAAGCUAGAGUAUGGGAGAGGAUGGUAGAAUUCCAGGUGUAGCGGUGAAAUGCGUAGAGAUCUGGAGGAAUACCGAUGGCGAAGGCAGCCAUCUGGCCUAAUACUGACGCUGAGGUACGAAAGCAUGGGGAGCAAACAGGAUUAGAUACCCUUGUAGUC
rnacentral:rRNA from 1 species